GACGAACGCUGGCGGCGUGCUUAACACAUGCAAGUCGAACGGAAAGGCCCUGCUUUUGUGGGGUGCUCGAGUGGCGAACGGGGGAGUAACACGUGAGUAACCUGCCCUUGACUGUGGGAUAACCUAAGGAAACUGGGGCUAAUACCGGAUAGGAGCUCUUGCUGCAUGGUGGGGGUGGGAAAGUUUCGGUGGUUGGGGAUGGACUCGCGGCUUAUCAGCUUGUUGGUUGGGUAGUGGGUUACCAAGGCUUUGACGGGUAGCCGGCCUGGGAGGAUGACCGGCCACGUUACGACUGGAAUGCGGCCCAGACUCCUACGGGACGCAGCGGUGGAGAAUAUUAUACUAGAGGAGGGAGCCUGGUGCGACCACGCCACGUCGGGGAUGACAUCCAGCGGGUUGUAUACCACUUUCGCCUGAGACGAGACGAGAGUGACGGUACUGGGUAAAGAAGCACCGGCUAACUACGUG
rnacentral:rRNA from 1 species